AAAUACACCCUGCGGGCGGACCAUGUGUUCGGGUAUGAGCAUGACGACUGGCUGCACACACCUCUGCUGCCACCAGAGGCCCCUCUUGGACUUACACAGGAGCAGAUCGACCAGACACUCAAGUACUUCUGCUCGAGUGCCACUGUUGACCCUGCAGGAGAACAAUGCUAUAAUCCCAGCCACUUCCCUUCCUCUUAGAGCACAGAUGCAAAUGCCAUCAAGAGGAUUAUCACCUGCUGCUUAAGGAUAAUGAGACAUUCUGCUGUUCUCAGUCUGGCAGACAGUCAGCCGCUCUGAUGUAGUAUCUGUCUGCUGCUCAGACUGACCAAACUGAGGCCACUGUAGCUUCGGGAGUGUGUUUAUGGACCUAAGUAAUUAAUGUUUGUUUCAUGGAUGUGAUCUUGUGGCAUCACUGAUUGACCACAAAAA